ACUUUUGUGAUAUGCCUCUAUCUUAAUGAUGUUCUUGUUCCAGCUGAAGUCACUGAUGAAUUCUUUUCACUGUCUGAUAGUACUUCCAGGCUAUUUCAGUGUUUUUAAUAAUUAGAACACUCUGGUUAUGGAAGAUUCCUGCCAGUUCUUAGCUCCAAGGAACAAUCCUUUAUUUUAGCAGUGCUGUUUGCUGUAACAGAUACACCAAUUAAGUAUGAGAAAGGGUAAAACCAGCACCUCAGUUAGGUCAUGUUUAAUCCUAUUUUACAGCCACUUUUUGCUAUAAAGACACAGGCCUUGGAGUGGAAUGUAUUGAUCUCUAUAUGGAGGUCAGUGCAUGAAAAAAAAAUAUUAACACUGCAAAGAGCCACCCAAAAAACUAGCCAACACCAGAGUGAAGGUUCAUGGUCUCAAUGCAGUUUAACAUCCUUUGGUGCAAACAUUGCAGUCAUGUAAAAUGCCAUAGGACUAGGGCUUCUCUCACUGUGUGAGACCUGUGAAUGAGACCACUUUCCUCACCUUGAGUCCUAUCCCAGUUCUUCUCACCUUCCUCCAGGCAUUUUACUGCCUCCCACCUCCUCAUCCUCCAAGCUGUAGCAAGGUGUUCUGGCACUUAAUUCUCUUCUCCCUCCUUCCCCUAACUGGAUCCUCCCAGUUACUGCUUCUAUCUGUUGCUCACCAGCUGCCAUGGACCCCUCAGCACAGGAGAUCUCAGAGCACUACUGGACACCCUUGCCAGCAUGGCUGUGGCAUUUUUUGCCACCAAUCACAGUACUUCUUUCAUUGCUCCUGCUAUGGACUUGCUUUACCCAUUUGCUCCCUCUCCAGCAGGCUCAACUCUUGGCACUGUGCGUUCAAUUGAGUUUCCUUCAACCCAACCUGGGCAUAGUGAUGGGUUACUGCAAGGAGGAAAGAGAACAUCAUUGCUCAUGGCUCUGCUAGUUGACUUUGACCAUGAUACAGCAAAACUGCUCCACAGCUGCAGAGAAGACUGAACGGAGCUUGGGCUAGAUGUAGUGUCAGAUUCAGUGGCAAGAUUUGGGAAGGUGAAAAACUGAAGUGCAUUAACACUCCAGGCUAUGCUGCUGUUAAAAUUAAGCAGGAUUUUUCCCAUAUGUGCUCUUCAAGUGUGAUGUCCAAAGAUGCCAAGAAGUGUUUUUAUGAGCAGGUACUCAUGUGAAGGUGGAAGGAAAACACUGGAGAAGACAACACUUCUCAAUAUGUUUGGUAUCUUCAUAACCAUUCUAAAGUGAUGCCAGUUGGGGCUGCAGCUAUAGAGGCUCUUCACUUGCAGGAGAAAGGUAGAUGGUAGGUUGGUAUACUGUUCCACGCAGUUCUAUACAGUAUAUUGUGAGAGAGAACAAGACCAAGUGAUUUUACUGCUAUGUUCAACCACUCAGAAUAGUGUUUCUAAGCAAUAGCAAUUGUGUUAUACUUCUUUUUCACUUUACAUGUACAAGUUUUGAGUAGCAGAUACUAGCUAGAGAAGCAACAGAAAUAUGCAGGGAUAUACACAAGUAUUCCCCCAUAAAUGAGGCAACUGUUAAAACAUAAAUAGCUGUCUUGUGUGAAUCUGAAAAACUGCGUGUAUGGAGUAAAUUACCAUGAGCAUGAAAAAAAGAAACAAAAACAUUGCAAUGGGCAACAUUAGAAUGGCUUAGUUCUUUUACUGUGUUUGCAUGCUGUUCUACUUCAAAUCACUUAAGUCAAUAGAGAGAAAAGCUUUUGGGACUACUGGAUCUAUAAUACAAUAAAUAAAAAUACAACAUGACUCUAAAAUUUACCCAAGUAUGUGGAAUAGAUAAGCAACAUCCUAUCUUCAGCAAGAUUCUUCUUAACUUCCUUCUUUAUUUUUUAAUUUGGAAUCAAUAGCUAUACAUAUAAUGACAUUUGAAGAAUUAAGUUGUCGAAGGUA